GCCCGGGUGGCGGAAUUGGCAGACGCAGGGGACUCAAAAUCCCCCGAUCUUCGGAUCAUGUGGGUUCAAGUCCCACCCCGGGCA
rnacentral:tRNA from 1 species